rnacentral:rRNA from 1 species
GUGUUCGGGUUGUCAUGCCAAUGGCACUGCCCGGUAGCUAAAUGCGGAAGAGAUAAGUGCUGAAAGCAUCUAAGCACGAAACUUGCCCCGAGAUGAGUUCUCCCUGAGACUAUAAGUCUCCUGAAGGAACGUUAAAGACGAUGACGUUGAUAGGCCGGGUGUGUAAGCGCAGCGAUGCGUUGAGCUAACCGGUACUAAUGAACCGUGAGGCUUAACCUU